UACGAAGGGGGCUAGCGUUGCUCGGAAUCACUGGGCGUAAAGCGCACGUAGGCGGUCUUUAAGUCAGGGGUGAAAUCCUGGAGCUCAACUCCAGAACCUGCCUUUGAUACUGAGAGACUUGAGUCCGGGAGAGGGUGAGUGGAACUGCGAGUGUAGAGGUGAAAUUCGUAGAUAUUCGGAAGAACACCAGUGGCGAAGGCGACUUACUGGACACAUAUUGACGCUGAGGUGCGAAAGCGGUGGGGAGCAA
rnacentral:rRNA from 1 species